AGCAGAUUUGAUAUGGCCCACCAAAUCCCAGGAUUCACUGCGAGUCAACGGUUGAAGAAAAAUGGCGGCCGGUCGAAGUGAAGCGGUCCAGAAAUAAACUCUUCAAAUGUUCAGAGUCAGAAGAGACUGAGAAGGUGAGGAGACGGAGGCUCUUCACCCCUAAUGAGACACCAGGACAGAUCCAGGACAGUGUGUGAGGAAGAGGAAGAGGAGGAGGCAGCAGCAGCUGAGAGAUGCAGAGGAGAACAGGCAGCUCUCUGUAGUUGAGGGACUGGUAAAGACAUUGAAAGCACUUUCUCGAUAUUUGCUUCCUGUAUUUGCAGAAGUAUCUCCAGCACAAACUGUAACAGCUGCAUAUAGGGAACCACUCAUCGCUGUUUAUCCUGCAGGACAGGAUCUGACAGGGAAAGACGGAAAAAUAAGGGAACCACGGACAACUUUGAUAAUGCUUUGAUUUAUCCAGAAUAUAUUUAGUUCAAAUAUUGUUUUCAUCACAGUGGGAUUGUGCUGGUUUCAGUGGGAAAGGUAUGCAGCUCAUUUAAAUACAAAGUUGUCCCUUCAUAAAGUGUGUCAGUAUUUUAUAAAGAUGUCAUGUUUCUGUAUCAUCUCUCUCCUGUUAGAGCCUCUGACCCAAACAUCAGCCUGUUUAAUGCUCUCAUGUCUUCAACAUCUUAAGUAAAUCAUACUGCACAGUUUUCUCAUUAAUAAAAGAAUAUUUACUGCA